AUUGAACGCUGGCGGCAUGCCUUACACAUGCAAGUCGAACGGCAGCACGGGGCAACCUGGUGGCGAGUGGCGAACGGGUGAGUAAUGCAUCGGAACGUACCUUUCAGUGGGGGAUAACGUAGCGAAAGUUACGCUAAUACCGCAUAUUCUGUGAGCAGGAAAGCAGGGGAUCGCAAGACCUUGCGCUGAUUGAGCGGCCGAUGUCAGAUUAGCUAGUUGGUGAGGUAAAGGCUCACCAAGGCGACGAUCUGUAGCGGGUCGGAGAGGAUGAUCCGCCACCCUGGGACUGAGACACGGUCCAGACUCCUACGGGAGGCAGCAGUGGGGAAUUUUGGACAAUGGGGGCAACCCUGGUCCAGCCAUGCCGCGUGAGUGAAGAAGGCCUUCGGGUUGUAAAGCUCUUUCGGCCGGGAAGAAAUCGCACGGGCUAAUACCCUGUGUGGAUGACGGUACCGGAAUAAGAAGCACCGGCUAACUACGUGCCAGCCGCCGCAGUAAGAC
rnacentral:rRNA from 1 species